AAACUUACCUGGCGGGGGGUUUCUCGUGGUCAUGAUGACGGGAACCCUAUGGCGAGACGUGUCCAUUGCACUUUCGGACACGUUGACCUGUAUGGCAGCUUCAAGUAGAGGUUCGCCAACCGCUACAUUUUUGAGUGAGGGACUGCGUUCGCGCGGUCCUGCU
rnacentral:snRNA from 1 species